AGCGUACACGGUGGAUGCCCUGGCAGUCAGAGGCGAUGAAGGACGUGCUAAUCUGCGAAAAGCGUCGGUAAGGUGAUAUGAACCGUUAUAACCGGCGAUGUCCGAAUGGGGAAACCCAGUGCAAUUCGUUGCACUAUCGUUAACUGAAUACAUAGGUUAACGAGGCGAACCGGGGGAACUGAAACAUCUAAGUACCCCGAGGAAAAGAAAUCAACCGAGAUUCCCCCAGUAGCGGCGAGCGAACGGGGAGCAGCCCAGAGUCUGAAUCAGCUUGUGUGUUAGUGGAACGGUCUGGAAAGUCCGACGGUACAGGGUGAUAGUCCCGUACACCAAAAUGCACAGGCUGUGAACUCGAAGAGUAGGGCGGGACACGUGGUAUCCUGUCUGAAUAUGGGGGGACCAUCCUCCAAGGCUAAAUACUCCUGACUGACCGAUAGUGAACCAGUACCGUGAGGGAAAGGCGAAAAGAACCCCGGCGAGGGGAGUGAAAAAGAACCUGAAACCGUGUACGUACAAGCAGUGGGAGCACCUUCGGGUGUGACUGCGUACCUUUUGUAUAAUGGGUCAGCGACUUAUAUUCUGUAGCAAGGUUAACCGUAUAGGGGAGCCGCAGGGAAACCGAGUCUUAACUGGGCGUUAAGUUGCAGGGUAUAGACCCGAAACCCGGUGAUCUAGCCAUGGGCAGGUUGAAGGUUGGGUAACACUAACUGGAGGACCGAACCGACUAAUGUUGAAAAAUUAGCGGAUGACUUGUGGCUGGGGGUGAAAGGCCAAUCAAACCGGGAGAUAGCUGGUUCUCCCCGAAAGCUAUUUAGGUAGCGCCUCGUGAACUCAUCUUCGGGGGUAGAGCACUGUUUCGGCUAGGGGGUCAUCCCGACUUACCAACCCGAUGCAAACUACGAAUACCGAAGAAUGUUAUCACGGGAGACACACGGCGGGUGCUAACGUCCGUCGUGAAGAGGGAAACAACCCAGACCGCCAGCUAAGGUCCCAAAGUCAUGGUUAAGUGGGAAACGAUGUGGGAAGGCACAGACAGCCAGGAUGUUGGCUUAGAAGCAGCCAUCAUUUAAAGAAAGCGUAAUAGCUCACUGGUCGAGUCGGCCUGCGCGGAAGAUGUAACGGGGCUAAACCAUGCACCGAAGCUGCGGCAGCGACACUAUGUGUUGUUGGGUAGGGGAGCGUUCUGUAAGCCUGCGAAGGUGACCUGUGAGGGUUGCUGGAGGUAUCAGAAGUGCGAAUGCUGACAUAAGUAACGAUAAAGCGGGUGAAAAGCCCGCUCGCCGGAAGACCAAGGGUUCCUGUCCAACGUUAAUCGGGGCAGGGUGAGUCGACCCCUAAGGCGAGGCCGAAAGGCGUAGUCGAUGGGAAACAGGUUAAUAUUCCUGUACUUGGUGUUACUGCGAAGGGGGGACGGAGAAGGCUAUGUUAGCCGGGCGACGGUUGUCCCGGUUUAAGCAUGUAGGCUGGUUAUCCAGGCAAAUCCGGAUAAUCAAGGCUGAGGUGUGAUGACGAGGCACUACGGUGCUGAAGUAACAAAUGCCCUGCUUCCAGGAAAAGCCUCUAAGCAUCAGGUAACAUCAAAUCGUACCCCAAACCGACACAGGUGGUCAGGUAGAGAAUACCAAGGCGCUUGAGAGAACUCGGGUGAAGGAACUAGGCAAAAUGGUGCCGUAACUUCGGGAGAAGGCACGCUGGUGUGUAGGUGAAGUCCCUGCGGAUGGAGCUGAGACCAGUCGAAGAUACCAGCUGGCUGCAACUGUUUAUUAAAAACACAGCACUGUGCAAACACGAAAGUGGACGUAUACGGUGUGACGCCUGCCCGGUGCCGGAAGGUUAAUUGAUGGGGUUAUCCGUAAGGAGAAGCUCUUGAUCGAAGCCCCGGUAAACGGCGGCCGUAACUAUAACGGUCCUAAGGUAGCGAAAUUCCUUGUCGGGUAAGUUCCGACCUGCACGAAUGGCGUAAUGAUGGCCAGGCUGUCUCCACCCGAGACUCAGUGAAAUUGAACUCGCUGUGAAGAUGCAGUGUACCCGCGGCAAGACGGAAAGACCCCGUGAACCUUUACUAUAGCUUGACACUGAACAUUGAGCCUUGAUGUGUAGGAUAGGUGGGAGGCUUUGAAGCGUGGACGCCAGUCUGCGUGGAGCCAACCUUGAAAUACCACCCUUUAAUGUUUGAUGUUCUAACGUUGGCCCCUGACCGGGGUUGCGGACAGUGUCUGGUGGGUAGUUUGACUGGGGCGGUCUCCUCCCAAAGCGUAACGGAGGAGCACGAAGGUUAGCUAAUCCUGGUCGGACAUCAGGAGGUUAGUGCAAUGGCAUAAGCUAGCUUGACUGCGAGCGUGACGGCGCGAGCAGGUGCGAAAGCAGGUCAUAGUGAUCCGGUGGUUCUGAAUGGAAGGGCCAUCGCUCAACGGAUAAAAGGUACUCCGGGGAUAACAGGCUGAUACCGCCCAAGAGUUCAUAUCGACGGCGGUGUUUGGCACCUCGAUGUCGGCUCAUCACAUCCUGGGGCUGAAGUAGGUCCCAAGGGUAUGGCUGUUCGCCAUUUAAAGUGGUACGCGAGCUGGGUUUAGAACGUCGUGAGACAGUUCGGUCCCUAUCUGCCGUGGGCGCUGGAGAAUUGAGGGGGGCUGCUCCUAGUACGAGAGGACCGGAGUGGACGCAUCACUGGUGUUCGGGUUGUCAUGCCAAUGGCACUGCCCGGUAGCUAAAUGCGGAAGAGAUAAGUGCUGAAAGCAUCUAAGCACGAAACUUGCCCCGAGAUGAGUUCU
rnacentral:rRNA from 1 species